rnacentral:rRNA from 1 species
UACGGAGGAUGCAAGCGUUAUCCGGAAUGAUUGGGCGUAAAGCGUCCGCAGGUGGCAAUGUAAGUCUGCUGUCAAAGCGUCUGGCUCAACCAGAUAAAGGCAGUGGAAACUACAUAGCUAGAGUAAGGUAGGGGUAGAGGGAAUUCCUGGUGUAGCGGUGAAAUGCGUAGAGAUCAGGAAGAACACCGGUGGCGAAAGCGACUUCCUGGACCAGUACCGACGUUCAGGCACGAAAGCGUGGGGAGCAAACAGG